rnacentral:rRNA from 1 species
GAUGAACGCUGGCGGCGUGCCUAAUACAUGCAAGUCGAGCGAAUGGAUUAAGAGCUUGCUCUUAUGAAGUUAGCGGCGGACGGGUGAGUAACACGUGGGUAACCUGCCCAUAAGACUGGGAUAACUCCGGGAAACCGGGGCUAAUACCGGAUAACAUUUUGAACCGCAUGGUUCGAAAUCGCAAGGCGGCUUCGGCUGUCACUUAUGGUUGGACUCGCGUCGCAUUAGCUAGUUGGUGAGGUAACGGCUUACAAAGGCAACGAUGCGUAGCCGACCUGAGAGGGUGAUCGGCCACACUGGGACUGAGACACGGCCCAGACUCCUACGGGAGGCAGCAGUAGGGAAUCUUCCGCAAUGGACGAAAGUCUGACGGAGCAACGCCGGGUGAGUGAUGAAGGCUUUCGGGUCGUAAAACUCUGUUGUUAGGGAAGAACAAGUGCUAGUUGAAUAAGCUGGCACCUUGACGGUACCUAACCAGAAAGCCACGGCUAACUACGUGCCAGCAGCCGCCGUAA